UUAGUCCAGCGUCCCACGAAA
rnacentral:piRNA from 1 species